GGCACCUGUCCCCUUCGGAUCUGCCAUGUUUCUUGGCCCCUCAUGUCUCCCACCUAAAGCGUGUCUAGUGUGGGCUUUAAAGACAAACAGCUCCUCAGGGUGUCCCAAAGGGCUACAAACUCUGAAAGUGCCAAAAUAGGCCCGACUUGGGCUAUUACCAGGUACUAGCCUGUGUGUGAGGCCACAAAAUAGAGUUCACCCACUUAGAGUAAAGCCUCCUUCCGAAGGAGAGGGAGAGAGAGCUGCCCACACUCCCAAGCUGUCUCCCUCCAUCCUGAACUGGAAGCUGUGCUGCCAGCCCGCCUGGCACAGCAGUACUGGGCAUACGGUAUGUGGGGUGUUGGUUCUCAAGAGGGAGAACACUUUUUGAUUAUUAUUUUUCUUAAAACACAGCAUGCAGGUAUGACUUUUUACAUAUUGCCAUUUUGGCUCUACCUUGUAGUUAGGGACUAAUAGACAAACUUACUUUUUCUCCUCCAGUUGUGCCGAAUUUGUUGUCUAUUAUAUGCAUUAAAUAUAAAAAAUGCUUGAGUGUAGGUGGUCUGGCAUACCACUGUCUGUAAGAGCUCUUAGUUGCCUACUGCCCUCUCUCAUCUUUUGAAUGAUCUAGCAACUUCCUUCGAGCUAAACAUUGUGAUUGAAGGAACUUAUUUUUGGUAACUUUCCCAACCCACAAAACCAAUUCCAUUUUAAGGUGGAAAAGUAGUGUAACAAUGGCAUUACUGUGUUUUUGUCUGUGACAUGAAAAUGUUUAAGCUUGACCCUCACACCAGUCGCUGCUGAAAGGUACUGCCCUGUACAAAAAAAAAAAACCAAAUCCUAAACUGUCUGUUUAUGGUUAUCACGGUUCACUUCGUUAAGCCAUAACUCUGAUUACAUUCUUUCUCCUGCCCUACCCUGAAGGCUGAGCUUUGAGGCCAGGGGGCCGGCCUGUUCUUCCCUGGGAACUGUGCGUCCAAAAACACAUUUGGGCAAAAUAGGUGUGGGGUGGAUGAAGGGACCUCUCAAACUCUGUGGGGACUUAUUUCAGAACCUCCUUCCGGGCCCUGGAAUCCUGCUUCCAUCUCCCACGUCCUGAGCACUCACCCCUUGAGGCCCCUGGUUCCUGUUGCACCUGCAGAGACUCAGUUGGGAAAUUCCUGGCUGAGGAGGGAGAGGGUGAGGGCCCGUCGCUGCUGUGAAGGACAGAUCUAAACCACGUGGAUGAGAGGGCCGUCCUCAGGGCCACGCAUGCAGCCCUUGACAAGAUGCGCUUAGAGGAGAGUUCUGGCCUCAUCAUGCCCCCUCAGGGACAUCCCUUUGUGCGAGAGGCUGAGUAAGGAAGAGGGAGAGAGCAGGCCAAGGAUGCGGGUUGCCCUGGGUUCCAUUCCCAGUCCCAGUCACGUGGGGCUUGGGCAAACCCCUUUGCCUCUCUCAGCUUCAGCCUCCUCACCUACAGAAUACAAAUCAUCACGCCUUCUCGUGCGGUGGUGGCAGCUGGUCCCCAGAGAUGGCUCCCACCAACCGAGCCUCCCGGCGUUCACACCUGUGCAGUCCCUUCCCAUGCUACCUCUGGGCUGGUCCUGCCACUCCCUUAACUACAGAAUGUGCUGAGCGAUGCUGGGCUGGUUCUGGGCCUGACCCCUAAGAAGGUCAGAGAGCUUCCUCCUCUGCACUUUCGGGGGCCUGAUCCACUGUGUAAGAAGUCCAGAUAUCCUUCAGAGAGACCAUGUGAAGAGGCCGCACACAGAGAGGGAUCCUGUGAAAUUCCAGAAAGAUACAAGCCCAUCUGUCCCAGGGCCCCAACAAAGCCCACCUCCCGGCAGAUGGGUGAAGCCAUCUUGGACCACCAGCUCUAGCACCAUCUUGUCCGACCAACCCUGGUACCAUCUUGGAUAUCCAGCUCCUGCACUGUUUUGUAUGACCAGCCCUAGUUACCCCUCUGAAUGAUCAGCCCCAGCACCUUCUUGGAUGACCACCCCAGGUCCCUUCUUAGAUGACCAGCCCCAGUGUCAUCUCAGCUGACCAGCUCCAACACCAUCUUGGACCACCAGCCCCGGCGCCACCUGACUGCUGCUCCACGACAGACACCAAACAAGACCAAGAAGCACUUUCUAGCUGAGCCCCAGACAACACUCAGGAUCAUGAGAGAUAAUGAAAUUCCUACUGUUUUAAGUCA